rnacentral:rRNA from 1 species
ACGCUGGCGGCGUGCCUAACACAUGCAAGUCGAGCGCGAAAGGGGGGGUAACUCCCCGAGUAGAGCGGCAAACGGGUGAGUAACGCGUGGGUGAUCUACCUUCGAGUGGGGAACAACACCGGGAAACUGGUGCUGAUACCGCAUGACAUCCCGGGUCACACCGGGAUCAAAGCUGGGGACCGAAAGGCCUGGCGCUUGAAGACGAGCCCGCGUCCGAUUAGCUAGUUGGCGGGGUAACGGCCCACCAAGGCGACGAUCGGUAGCCGGCCUGAGAGGGCGGACGGCCACACUGGGACUGCGACACGGCCCAGACUCCUACGGGAGGCAGCAGUGGGGAAUUUUUCGCAAUGGGCGCAAGCCUGACGAAGCAACGCCGCGUGGAGGAUGAAGGCCUUCGGGUCGUAAACUCCUGUCGACCGGGACGAAAGCAGUCUGGCCAAAUACGCCGGGCUGUUGACUGUACCGGUGGAGGAAGCCACGGCUAACUCUGUGCCAGCAGCCGCGGUAAUACAGAGGUGGCAAGCGUUGUCCGGAAUUACUGGGCGUAAAGGGCGCGUAGGCGGUCCGAUAAGUCCCGCGUGAAAGCCCCCGGCUCAACUGGGGAACUGCGCGGGAAACU